UGCUGAUACAGUACAGCUUCCACGCAUUAUGACAUCACAUCCAACAUGUGGAGAUGACCGGCUCUGGGCAUGCCCUGUGCUCACCUGGCAGGUGAUGGCGUGGGCAGGAAGUGCACAGCCUGCCUUUACCUUACGUGAACACUGUGUCUGGGCAAUGGGCUAAGAACUGAAGAGGACAAGCUAGAAACGGGCUCCUUGCUGCCUCUAUAAACCACGUGUGUGUACAUCUUAGCGAGCCCACAGACAAAAAAGGCAAAGAAGCAGAGACCAAGAAGGAGCGCCUAAGAGGCACAGAAAAAGAGAGCCACAGAGACAGAGAGAUGGAGAGGCAGACAGACAGAGGAGAGCCAAGGCACAGGGGAAGGGGCAGGCAGAGGCAAGCACUUCCUGGUGAACUGGGUCCCCUGUGUGAUUGGCUGCUCCUAGAGAACAGUUUCCCUGGCUGCAGUUGCUGUGCAACUGCUUCCUGCAAUUAACUGACUUUAUUGACUUUGUCUGUUUCUCCCCCUCCCUUAACCUCUUGUUUGCCAAGCCAUCUAAGGAGCCACACCUUCGACUGGAAGGGGUAGUUUCAAUUAGCACACUGUACAUCUUGUCAACCCACCUCCACUUGAAGCUGUGAUAAUAGAUCUGAGCAUACUGGCUCUUGGGGAGGCUGAAUCACUUGCCCCAAACAUAGAACAACAUAAACUGAGGUGGGAUUCAGAUACAAGUCUGUCAGACUCUAGAGCCCAAGUUCUCAUCCAUCAAGCUGAUGUCCACCUUCUUGGGCCAGAGGAGAGACUCAACUUUGCUUUGAGCCAUUGAUGAGCUCAAAUAUGUAAAGUGAGAUACAUAUUUGAGGACUGGAUCGAACCAGCUCACCUGCUCCACGUUGCUCAUUUCUCUCAGCAAAUCCAAGGACUCAGAAGGAACCCUUCACCAACUGCCCAUUCCCGCAUGCCGACCUGCAGAGCUAACUCCAAGCUUGCUCCACCCACCUUCUGUCACCACCGUCCCUUUUCUUGUCUCAAAAGUCAUCAUGAAAAUGCAAAUGUUGCCACAAUUUGUUGAAAAAAUAACAAAAUUAUAGUAUGUGAAAGAGUAUCUUGAAAAUUGAAUUGGAAAUUUCUCUGAUUUUUGCCUUAACACUGUAGAAUUUUAUUUCUAGAAUUUUACCUUAUUUUCUUAUUUUUUUCCCACCAGGCAAUAGAGAAAUCAGCUAUCUUAUGAC
rnacentral:lncRNA from 1 species